AGAAAAAGAAAAUAUAAGAGUUAUACCUUUUGUAUCAGGGAAAUUUAAGGGCCAAUAAAUUAUAGAAUCGAUUUAAAUAGAACUUUUAAAAACGUGAAGUUGCAGUUUUGCUGGUAAAAUAUUAAGUGGUGAAAAAUGUUCGAUAUUUAUGGUAUCUAAUUACUUAAAAUUAACAGAGCAAGUUUUUUUCUUUCUACAGAAAAAACAAAUUAUAAUGAGCUAGGCUUUAAAUUAGCUUUGGGCCUAAAUUGUUUUAAAUAGGUUAUAAAACCAAGAAAAGGUAGAGUUUAAAGGUUAUGAGGGUUAAUUAAAUUUUUCAUAAAUAAUGAAUUUAUUGAAUAAUUAGAUUUAGGGUUUAAAUAACUAAUAAAAAAUAGGAAUGUUUAACAAAAACAUUUUUUGCAUAAAAUAGUAAGUAAGACCUGCCCGGUGAGUCUUUAACGGCUGCGGUAUUUUGACCGUGCUAAGGUAGCAUAAUCAUUUGUUUUUUAAUUGAGAACUGGAAUGAAAGGUUACUCCUAUUUUAAUUUUUGUCAAACUAAAUAAUAAAUUAAAGUUAAGGUAAGAAUUCUUUAAUCUUCUAGGGGACGAUAAGACCCUAGAAGCUUAAUAUAAAGUUAAAUCUAUAGUAAAGAUUAGACACUUAUUUUACUGGGGCGGUAAAGAUAAAUAUACUAUUUGUGUAUAAAGGAUCUUUAAAAUUAAGACAAUUAGGAAUAGUUACUCUAGGGAUAACAGUGUAAUACUUUUGGAGAGACCUUAUUGAUAAAUGAGUUUGCAACCUCGAUGUUGAAUUAAGAUGUCUAAGUGACGCAGAAGGCACUUGAGAAGGUUUGUUCAACC
rnacentral:rRNA from 1 species